CCCUGGGUGGUGUAAACAGUUAACACGCUUAGCUGUUAACCAAAUGGUUAGUGGUUCGAGUCCACCCAGAGG
rfam:Loxodonta africana unplaced genomic scaffold scaffold_99, whole genome shotgun sequence.